rnacentral:rRNA from 1 species
CGGGUGAGUAACACGUAUCCAACCUGCCGUCUACUCUUGGCCAGCCUUCUGAAAGGAAGAUUAAUCCAGGAUGGCAUCAUGAGUUCACAUGUCCGCAUGAUUAAAGGUAUUUUCCGGCAGACGAUGGGGAUGCGUUCCAUUAGAUAGUAGGCGGGGUAACGGCCCACCUAGUCAACGAUGGAUAGGGGUUCUGAGAGGAAGGUCCCCCACAUUGGAACUGAGACACGGUCCAA